AGCGGCGGACGGGUGAGUAACACGUGGAUAACCUACCUAUAAGACUGGGAUAACUUCGGGAAACCGGAGCUAAUACCGGAUAAUAUAUUGAACCGCAUGGUUCAAUAGUGAAAGACGGUUUUGCUGUCACUUAUAGAUGGAUCCGCGCCGCAUUAGCUAGUUGGUAAGGUAACGGCUUACCAAGGCGACGAUGCGUAGCCGACCUGAGAGGGUGAUCGGCCACACUGGAACUGAGACACGGUCCAGACUCCUACGGGAGGCAGCAGUAGGGAAUCUUCCGCAAUGGGCGAAAGCCUGACGGAGCAACGCCGCGUGAGUGAUGAAGGUCUUCGGAUCGUAAAACUCUGUUAUUAGGGAAGAACAAAUGUGUAAGUAACUAUGCACGUCUUGACGGUACCUAAUCAGAAAGCCACGGCUAACUACGUGCCAGCAGCCGCGGUAAUACGUAGGUGACAAGCGUUAUCCGGAAUUAUUGGGCGUAAAGCGCGCGUAGGCGGUUUUUUAAGUCUGAUGUGAAAGCCCACGGCUCAACCGUGGAGGGUCAUUGGAAACUGGAAAACUUGAGUGCAGAAGAGGAAAGUGGAAUUCCAUGUGUAGCGGUGAAAUGCGCAGAGAUAUGGAGGACACCAGUGGCGAAGGCGACUUUCUGGUCUGUA
rnacentral:rRNA from 1 species